rnacentral:rRNA from 1 species
AACGAACGCUGGCGGCAGGCUUAACACAUGCAAGUCGAACGCAUCCUUCGGGGUGAGUGGCAGACGGGUGAGUAACGCGUGGGAACGUGCCCUUCAGUUCGGGAUAACCCAGGGAAACUUGGGCCAAUACCGGAUACGAGCGAAUGCAGAAAGAUGUAUCGCGGAAGGAACGGCCCGCGUCUGAUUAGCUAGUUGGUGGGGUAAUGGCCCACCAAGGCGACGAUCAGUAGCUGGUCUGAGAGGAUGAGCAGCCACAUUGGGACUGAGACACGGCCCAAACUCAUACGGGAGGCAGCAGUGGGGAAUAUUGGACAAUGGGCGCAAGCCUGAUCCAGCCAUGCCGCGUGAGUGAUGAAGGCCUUAGGGUUGUAAAGCUCUUUCGUCCGGGACGAUAAUGACGGUACCGGAAGAAGAAGCCCCGGCUAACUUCGUGCCAGCAGCCGCGGUAA